UGAGGAAUAUUGGUCAAUGGGCGAGAGCCUGAACCAGCCAAGUAGCGUGCAGGAUGACGGCCCUAUGGGUUGUAAACUGCUUUUAUAUGGGAAUAAAGUGAGGGACGUGUCCCUUAUUGCAUGUACCAUACGAAUAAGGACCGGCUAAUUCCGUGCCAGCAGCCGCGGUAAUACGGAAGGUCCAGGCGUUAUCCGGAUUUAUUGGGUUUAAAGGGAGCGUAGGCUGUUUGUUAAGCGUGUUGUGAAAUGUAAGAGCUCAACUUUUAGAUUGCGGCGCGAACUGGCAGACUUGAGUGCGCACAACGUAGGCGGAAUUCAUGGUGUAGCGGUGAAAUGCUUAGAUAUCAUGACGAACUCCGAUUGCGAAGGCAGCUUACGGGAGCGCAACUGACGCUAAAGCUCGAAGGUGCGGGUAUCGAACAGG
rnacentral:rRNA from 1 species